rnacentral:lncRNA from 1 species
UUAUCUGUUGAAUUUUUCUAAAUAAUAAUAAUAAAAAGGAACAAUUUAUGUUUCAAGAUAUGUUGCAAUGAUGCCAUGUGUACUUCGAUAGCUGGUUCUUUGCAAUAUCAUGUAGUUUAUAUUGGGUAGUAUAAAACCACUAUCCAAAAAAAUUAAAACCUAUUCAAUAAUUUAAAUUUUAAUAUUUCUCACUACGUGUAUGUGACUGAUAUUACAUACGAAACGUGUCACAAAGGAGGAUAAAAACAACAGGCACAUGUCACGCUCGUCGUGUCAAUGGUCCACUCGUCAAUAGGGGGCGGUAAAUGCACUUAUUUGUGUAAGAUCCUACGUAACACAAGAAGACGACGUCACCUCUAGCGUCAUCAGUCAGCGUGGGUCUCCCGAGACUCGUCCUGAGUGAGCUGCAAACAGUCUGGAGAAUGGCUCCCAGGCUGUUGAGAUGCUCUGUUGUUGGCUUUAAGGAUGAACAUGGCUGCCGUCACUUAGUCCCGACAUCUGAGCCGCUGAAGACGCAGUGGAUUACCUUUUUGUUUUUGAAGGGGCACACAAACACAUCAGGGUGCCCCUGAUCUACCUAAAUGUGUUUGUGUGCUCAUCAUUUUACACAAGACUGCUUUGUAAACGAGGGUCAGUACAAAGCAGGAUUUGCUACAAAAUUGAUCCUGAGGGAUGGAAACCAACUGUGUGUUAUCCAGCUUCACCUUCAGCAGAAUCAAGCUCGUCUAAAGAAUGGGCCAAGGUGCAUCAUGUGGCCUGUCAGACUGACACAACACAACUCUGCACAGUUGCCACCCAGCUGUCAAUAAAAACUCUACGGCAGGCUGAAGCUAAACUAUGCAGGAUAGUGGCCCUCCAGGAUUGGAGUUGCCUAUCCCUGCUCCAUGUCCUCACUACAAAAGCAGAGGCAUUUCAGCUCAAAUAUCGUUUGCUAAGUGCUGCCAGCUGCUUCUCCACACCAGUAAAUUUAAGAUCUGGGAUCUCCCAGCUUCCAGUCAUAAUUCUAACAGGUAUGUUACUUUUUUCCAUUUCGUACUAUAAAUUGGUAACCCGUUUCGUCUGUUUCCAAGUCAGCUUCUACAUUUUUCUCAUCAUUUCUUUCUUCCAGCUGUCCUGA